UUGCUCACCUGCCUGGGCCUCAGCCCAUGACCAAGGAAACUUUUGCCCUCCCUCCCCAGGAGCUCACUUACAGGCCAUCUUCAAAGGUACUGCCUACCUGAACCUGCCUUGUCCCAAAGGACACACUUCAAUCUGGGGAGAGUUUAAAGUUGUAGACAUAUCCAUUUUCAUUUAAGGAAUAUGAAGAUCAGGGAGGCAAAAUAUAGAGAUAUAGAGAGGAAAAACUGAGAGAUGAUCAGAAAUUCAGACGCAUUCGGAAUGAGCACCCUUGACCAUACCAAGAACAAAGACUCUAUAAAAAUGUGAAGUCUUAUUAUUGUUCAUCCAUGUUCUACGUGGGAUCCACCCAAGACAUUGAAAACUGUACAGAACAGGGUGAAAUUGAAUCAGAUCAUUCUGUACUCCUAACAAGGUCCACCCCAUGAGAGACUUGCAGCAGAAUUAAUGACACUGUAUAUUUUCCUCUACUAACAACAACAAGAACAACAACAACAACAAUCUAGGAAAAUCAAAGGCAGCCCGACAUGGAAAAAAACACAAAAUGAAUAUUUGGAUUACAAAUAGUGU
rnacentral:lncRNA from 10 species